rnacentral:lncRNA from 1 species
GAGGGGUAAAGUCCCACGGAGUUCUUACCCAUAACACAAAAAUGAAAAAAAAAAGGGAGGGGGAUCCGUUGUUGAUAUAUCCAUCUGUCCCUUUACACAUAAAAUUCUUAGGAAUAUCAAACAAAAAUAAAAGGAAUCCAACCAUUCUAUAGACGAUCCCGUAUUAUAUGAAUUUAUACAGAUAAAACAUUCUGUAAAAAGCAUUUCUCUACUAAUGAAUGGAACCUUACCCUAUCAAAUUUCAACCGUGAGGAGAUAAUAAAUAAAGAUUUAAAUAUAC